rnacentral:rRNA from 1 species
GAUUUCUGGCUUGAAAUCAGUUGCCGGCCACGGUUUCGUGUGUUAGUGCGUCUGGUUCUGGCCAUCCUUCCAAUCGCGUCGUGCUGCUCUUCAUUGACUGGCACGGCGUAUUGGAUCUUUUACUUUGAAAAAAUUAGAGUGUUUCAAGCAGGCUUUAUGCUAUGAAUACAUUAGCAUGGAAUAAUAAUUUAGGACUUCGGUUCUAUUUUGUUGGUUUCUAGGACUGAAGUAAUGAUUGAUAGGGAUAGUUGGGGGUGCUAGUAUUCAGCGGCCAGAGGUGAAAUUCUCGGAUUCGCUGAAGACUAACUUAUGCGAAAGCAUU